AGAGUUUGAUCCUGGCUCAGGAUAAACGCUGGCGGCGUGCCUAACCCAUGCAAGUCGAGCGAUUUGUAGCAAUACAGAGAGCGGCGGAAGGGUGAGUAACACGUGGAAAUCUACCUCGACGGAGGGAACAACCCCGCGAAAGUGGGGCUAAUACCCAAAAGCAUCCGCAAGGAUGAGAGUCGCAAGGCCUGUCGAGAGGAGUCCGCGGCCCAUCAGCUAGUUGGUGAGGUAAGAGCUUACCAAGGCUACGACGGGUAGGGGGUCUGAGAGGACGUCCCCCCACACUGGAACUGAAACACGGUCCAGACGCCUACGGGUGGCAGCAGGGAGGAAUAUUGGACAAUGGGGGAAACCCCGAUCCAGCAACGCCGCGUGAGGGAUGAAGGCCUUCGGGUCGUAAACCUCUUUUAAGGGAGACGAGAAAGGACGGUAUCCCUGGAAUAAG
rnacentral:rRNA from 1 species